rnacentral:rRNA from 1 species
AGUGAACGCUGGCGGUAGGCCUAACACAUGCAAGUCGAACGGCAGCACAGUAAGAGCUUGCUCUUACGGGUGGCGAGUGGCGGACGGGUGAGGAAUACAUCGGAAUCUACUUUUUCGUGGGGGAUAACGUAGGGAAACUUACGCUAAUACCGCAUACGACCUACGGGUGAAAGCAGGGGUUCUUCGGACCUUGCGCGAUUGAAUGAGCCGAUGUCGGAUUAGCUAGUUGGCGGGGUAAAGGCCCACCAAGGCGACGAUCCGUAGCUGGUCUGAGAGGAUGAUCAGCCACACUGGAACUGAGACACGGUCCAGACUCCUACGGGAGGCAGCAGUAGGGAAUAUUGGACAAUGGGCGCAAGCCUGAUCCAGCCAUACCGCGUGAGUGAAGAAGGCCUUCGGGUUGUAAAGCCCUUUUGUUGGGAAAGAAAAGCAGCAGGUUAAUACCCCGCUGUUCUGACGGUACCCAAAGAAUAAGCACCGGCUAACUUCGUG